UAUUAUACUCUUCUGUGGGUUUCCUAAUAAAAAAUGUUCCCUUUUAAAAUGCCUAGAAAAGAAUUUUUUUUCCAAGGAAUUGUCACACUUUCAAAUGAAGUGUGCUAACUUAAGCAUUAAUCAUUGAUACAUGUAUAUUAAAAGGCAUACAGAUUCCAGAAGUAGUUGCAUGGGUCCAUAUAAUUGAACAUGGUAUAUUUUCCUCUUUAGGAUUUUUUGGAGUAACCUAUUCGUCCCCCUUAAGAGUCAUGUCUUAGAGAUUCUUCUAAAUUCUGUGAAAGGUUAUCUUACAGUCUGUGGAAUUAGAUGUGUGUGUUUUUCUUGGGUUCAAGUAAUCUUUUCAUUGCUAGUUUUAUAUCUUUUUGCCAAAUUUUAUAAUUUUCAAGCCACUUCCUAUUUUCAGUUCAGACAAAAAAAAAAUCAGGGGCACGACACUUUGGGAGGAAAAACUGCAAAACCAAAAUAGCUUUAGAAUGAUACUGCUGGAAGAGUUUUUGAGCUUAUACUAGGACUGUAGACCCAAAAUGUCAAAUUACCCAAUUUUUAAGGAAAUAAGAAUGUCCUGAGAUUUAGACUGAAAGCACAGUUUACAGAAGAAAAAUAUUUAAAAUAUUACCCUCGGUCCAUAGUGUGCUACCUCAUAUAGAGAGCGUGGAUUUAUUUUUAACUUUUCAUAGUACCUGGCACAUAAUGGAUUCUCAAUAAAUGAUAAAUAAAUGGAUAAAUUAUAUUCAACAUUGCCUAAAUCUUCAUGGAAGGUUGCACACCAUUGUUAUACCUGUAUAUGGCUGAAACUAAAAAAAGAAAAAUCAACGACCAACAGUUGUUGGUUAAAGGCAGCUGUCUGAUUUGCAUGGUUUCCCAAUCUGUUUUCUAAACAUGUAAACCAUUCUGAUAAUGGUAUAUUAUGUCUUUCUAAACUAUAUUCUUUUCUAUCUAUACCCAGCUACACUAAACAUUUGAAAGUAUGUUUCCUUAAAGAUUUUAUGUUCAUCAGUUUUUGGAUACUACGUUUAAGGGUGCCAUGCAGCCACUAAUAGAGUACCCAUUUUCUACUCAUUUUCAUCAGAGGAAGUCAUAUCCCAUUAAACAUUGUUUCAACACCAAUAGCCUGCUGUUUCUAAUCAAGUAAUUGAAUGGCAACUAUGACUUAUAAGUGACAUGCCUGAGAAUAGUCAGGAGUAGGCUCAGGUCUCAUAACCGCACAGAAAGUAGAGCACCAUAUCUUUUCCUCUGAUUCAGACUUGAAAUAACAUGCUGGUGCUGUUCUGAGUGUUCAUUUACUUCCCCAUGAACAUCUCACCUUCUUGAUUCAGUGUUUAUUUUUUACAUAAAUCUGAGGAAAUUUUUAUUUUGAUGAUAAUUUCUUGAGUUGAAAGAGUCUGCCAAAGAAUUUGAAAUAAGAUAUAUAUGGUCAACUACACAGACUUACCAACUGGAAGCUAAUGAAGACAGGAUACCAAUACUCUAAAUUCUGACAUGAUUUUGCUAUUGGAUAUUGAUUUCAUUUUCUACAAAUUUACUUCAUGUCAGAAAAGUUAAACUCUGCUGAUCCUAUCAAAAUCCCUCUGAAGACUUUGAAUAUGCAAGUGCCAUUAAAAUUGGACUGUUAUCUUUCUUGUCUUAAAAAUGAUGGUCUUCUUGCUAUAUUUUGCAUUUUUUACUGUUUGGGCUAACUUGACUCUUUAGUCUCCCUACAAGGCAGUGGAACACCUAGCAGGCAGUAUUGUAAUCACUGUAGUAAAGUUUCUUUCCUUAAAGGUCGCCAGUUGGCCUGUAUUUGAAAUUGCGUGGCAUAAUAUUGGAGUCCACGCUCUUAGCCCAGAGUUUGACAGCAUAAGAAAUGUGUGUUUUUCUCUGGAUUUGAUCCUUGACUCUGGGAUUUCUCUAUCCAUUCUUUCAGUGUAAUCUCAAUGAUACCAAAAUCUUCAAUGAUUUCUUCAAUGACUUCAAAGUUCCUAUUUCAGAAUGACUCCUCAAGCUAUGUGUUAUUCUCUGAGCUGUGGUCUAAGAACAACUCUUCUUGAAUUUUCCUCCGGCAUCUCAAACUGAACUUCUUCAAAAUGCAUUUAUCACUUCCCCUAACAAACCUAUUCCUCCUUCUUUGUUCUUUAACUAAGUCAAUGGCAUCAUGCCUUUUUUCCCCAUUCUUCUUUUCUUUUUUUCUUCCCAUUCUUCUAAAAAGAAAUAUGUUGGAUAUUUUAGACUGUUCUCUCUACUUAUGCAGAGCAUUAUUCACCAAGUUUAAUAAUCUCUGCUUUCUUACAAUCUCUUGAAUCUGAUUCUUCCUUUCAUCUGCUAUGGCAUUGAUUAGAACCCUGUAAUUUCUUUUGAGAUCAAACUCCUAAGUGAGAUUUUCUGCCCAGGCCACCUUCUUAAACAUGGCAACAUCAUUCUUCAUGAACAUAAAUAGAAUUGUGCUAUGCCUUCUUAGAAUAUCCCUCCAGUGGUUUCUUUUCUCCAUCAAGAUAAACAAAAUUCCACACUAACUAUCCCCAUAAGCAUAUGACCUCUGUCUAUUGUCCAGCUUCAUAUUCUCAUAAGCUGCUUCCUAUGCUCCAGGAAUAUCAACUACAUCAAGUUUUCCAAAGGUUGAUAUUUUUCCAUGUGCUGUUCCUUCUCUCUAAGGACUCUCUCCUUGCCCAUCCAUCUACCAAACUCAUAUUCAUCCUCUUGUACAUUGCACAGGAACCCCCUUCUUCAAGGAAUAUUCUCUGAUUUGUAUCCCCAGCCAUCUCUCCAUGGUGUCUUGAACAUUAUUAGGAUUUCUCACUGCAGUGUUCCAAUGACAGCUUUGCUCUCCGUAAUAUAGCCCUUAUUGCAUGGGUCUAUAAUGGCUGGUGCCUUUACCUGUUUCUCCAUGUAGAGUAUGAGUCCCGGAGUCUAGGCAUUGUGUCUGGUUCAUUUCUGUCUCAUCAGUGCUUAACACACCAAAGCUGGCAUAUGGUAUGGGCUCAAUUCAUGAUUUAUGAUUAAAUGGACGAAUAGGUGGAUAUUAACCAAAAUUCCUUUUCAUCCAUCCAUCCAUGCAUUUAUCCUUAAGGACUCAAAUCCUAUAUACUGAAGAUUCAUUGAACUGAUAGAAGACAUAGUGAGUAGAUGUCUCUUGAAACAUAACGUGAAGUCAUAUUAUCCAGAAGGAAGAGAAACUACCUUAAAAGUGAAAGCAAGGAGUUUUUUUUUUUUUGAUUGUUUGUUUGUAGCAUGGCCAAUAUGUAUCGAUCAUAUCAAUAUCUAUAUCCAUAUCUAUAUGAUAUACCAUAUUAGUAAUAGUCUUCAAUAGGAUGAGAUAAGACAGAAAUAGAGCAAUGAUUCUGGUGAUCAGGACAGGUUUCAGACAAAACAGACUUUCUCAUCCUUCAUAGGGUGAAACCAAGUCUCUCAACAAAUAGUGUUAAAUUAUUUCAUGAACCUGAGGGAUUCAACUAACACCAGCCAAAUUUGAUCCUUUUGAGAUCUAACAGUAUCAUAAGAGUAGGACUAUCAUCUUUCUGGUUCAAAAAAUUAUGUUUUUUUAUAUGUAACCCUCUGGGCAUUGUGCCUACUUCCCCGUAAGUUUGUGUAUAAUUUUUCCCAUUAUCACCCCCUAGGUCUCUUUCACCAUCGCCACUUUCCAGGCGUCUACCGUCCACUGAAUAGCCAUGUUUUUGAUUAUCUUUUCCCAAAUGUAUUAGCUUGCAUUAUUUAAGGCUGAAUCUCUUUUUAUUAUUUCCUGCUCAUAUUUCUAAACUCCUUAAGUCCAUUUGUAUGAUUCUUUUGUCUUCACAGAUGUCCACAGUUCCUCCCAAUUUAGUAUCAUCAGCAAAUUUAAUUAAUGCUCUGUUUACCUCUCUUUCUAAUGAAACCAGUCCCCUGUUUCAUUUCAUCAUACAAAGUAAAAAUAUAUUGGCAAUAAAACAGUCCAAAGAAAUGUUCCCUCACUGUAGGAGGGGAAGUUCAGGAUACAGCAAAGAACCGUGUGGUGAGGAGUGGACAGGGCAGCAGGGUGGUGAGCUAGUUUGCUAUUGCCCUAAAGCAAAAUCUUUUUCACAGCAACUACAUUUGGCAGAUUGCCUGGGUUGGUGCUGGUGUGUGUGUGUGUGUGUGUGUGUGUGUGUGUGUGCUCUAUAAGGUAACUAUGUUACCCUAACUGAGGACUUUUUACUAAAGAUAUAUUUAUUGAUACAUGAAAAGCAUAUUUAAAACUACAUACACAAUUACAAGUGCAAGCUAGUAACAAUUAAUCCAUAGUUUAGCUACAGACCUAGAUAUGGAUACAUACAUCUGGAUAUAUACACACUCAUAAUCAUUUUCACUGGGCUUUGUCUAACAUUCACUACUGUCUAAAUUUUUAUCUCAGUUUUUAAUUUGGUAAAUGGUUUAGAUCCAAAUUACCUAUUGGGUUUAAAUCAAAUUCCUUAUAAGUGUUAGAUUUAUAGAAUAAAGAGAAUUUUUAUUCAGUUGUACCCAAAAGACAAAUGUCAGUAAAAAAAAAAAUAUUUUAACCUCUAGAAUUUAUAGGCUAGAAAGGUGAGCUUCAUCACAGAAAGAGGUUUUACUUGUUAACUUUAAAGUGAGCAAGACAAAUGGUCUUUAAAGAUGUGGCCAUACAGAUGAGGGGGGUGUUUUACUCAAGGAAAACAGAGAUGACGUUUAUUAACCACCCACUAUGUGCCACACAUAAUGCUAGUACUUUCCAACAUGAGUCAAUACUACAGAUUUAAAACCUAUGUUACUACCUGAUAUUCCAUAGACUAUUCCAAAAUCCAGUAAAAUUUCAUAAAUAUUUGCCAUGUUGCACAUGAAGAGCCAAUCUUCAAAAUAUGGAUCAAUUAGUAUAAAUUUACUGACUCUAAAGAGGAAAAAAAAAAACCCUUUCACGUUUAUGCUGCGAUUAGGACAGACAGAUGGUAGACCAACAUCUCUAUUGGUAUGUAGAGAAGACAAUGCAUGCUCUCAGUGUUGAAAUGAAGGCUGAUAUAUACUUUACAUAUAGCACAAGGUCACCAAAGAUGUUAUCACAAAGGGAUGAUGUUAACAAAAUAGUGACUGGGAAUACUGUUAAGUAGUCACAGCCUCAUAUUGUUUUUGUAGUGAGAAAAAUCUGAUGCAUAAUGCAUUCUUAUGCGAGAAUUUUCUCAGAUGCCAGGACUUUACAGGCAUAACUUUCAUAAGCUUUAAUGGGAGUUUCCUGCCAGCACCUGUUACAGUAUAGAGUUCUUACUUUUCACACAUAAUCCAAGACUGGCUUGGAACACUGACUUGGAAAAACUAAUAUAGUGAAACCUUCUUAUAAUGUUUCCUCACAUAUAAUGUUCAUCUUUUAAUACUUGGUCUGAUAUAUGUAUGUGCAUGUUUUCCUUUCAAAUUCUUUUCCCACCAGAAAGGCUGUUUUUUCACAAGCUUUUUAUGGAUAGGAGCAGAUAAAAUAAUUUCUUUUUUUUUUACUGGGUAAACUACUAGAAAAGGCACAUAAGGCGGAAAGUUAUUAGGAUAGAAAUUAAACUAAUGUUACAAAUCAACUCUUCUUAGCUGGAAAUAGGUCUAGAAACACUAUGGAUUCCCGAGGAGCCAGCAGAAACAAUUAGAGUGCAGUGUGCAAAAAAACAAUCACCGUGGAUCCAAAACAAGGAUCACAGGUCAAAAUGAUAUAGUUUGGCCAUAUUUUCCUGUGUCUUUACAGAACGAAUAUGGGAAACUUUAAUAUUUAAAAUGAUAUUGCAUUUAACCCUGUGGAUAAAUCAGCAGGGUAAUAUUUUGUAUAAAGGAGAGUUAAAAAGAAUUCUUAAAAUUUCAUAUUUUUAAAAUUAAGUCCCACAAAUUGUAUUACCAAAACAAAGAAAAAAUUAGUGUAUCUGUCUAACUCAAACUGUUGGAGAUUGCACAGAAAUACUAUCAUGAACAAUAACUUCCCUUUUAAAGGUGUUUGAAGUCUCCUCUUGUUUACUAUUUCUAACAUACAUGCCAUAUAAGAAUGAAAACAGACCUCUCUACUCAAAAUCCUGUAUCAUUUAUUGUCCCAUUUGACAGCAUGGUGGGCAGGGGAAUGUUUACUUAUUAAACAUUUUUAAAUAGUGAAUUUGAGUUCCAUAUUUAUAACAAAAUAUUAUAAGUAAUGUUGGUAGGUUGAGUUAAAGUUGGAAGGAGUCUGAAAUCCUGAAACCAUUAAAUAAAUAAAUAAAUAAAUAAAUAAAUA